GCCAGGUAUGAUGGCACAUACCUGUAAUCCCAGCAACUCGGGAGGCAGAGGCAGGAGGCCAGAGUUGGCAGUUUAAUGAGACCCUGUCUCCA
rnacentral:sRNA from 1 species